GUUGCGACUACCGCCUCCCAAGCCAAGACAACGUAAGAAGAAAGCAAAGGAGCCUGAGGUGACUCCUGAGGAACGCUGGGAGGCAAUGACUCAUGAGGAACGCUAGACCGAAAUCCAAGUGCAAUCUAGUGAGUGGUUGAGGGAACAAAGGGAAUUAAGAAAAGCAAGGGAGAUGGAGCCACCGCCAGUAGAUCGAAGAGAAUUAUAUAAAUUCAUCAAGAUGCAAGAACAAGCCAAGAAGAGUCAACCACUACUAUCGAACUAUGAACGGGCAUUAGUAAAGGUUGAUGAGAUGAAAAAAAGGAAAAAAGUCGAGUUGCCAGC
rnacentral:lncRNA from 1 species